rnacentral:sRNA from 1 species
GCUAGGCGCAGUGGCUCAUGCCUGUAAUUCCAGCGGCUUGGGAGGCUGAGGUAGGAGGAUCAGAAGUUCAUGGCCAGCUUCAGCAACUUAGUGAGGCCCUAAGAAACUUAGUGAGACCCUGUCUUUA